rnacentral:rRNA from 1 species
CCUACGGGAGGCAGCAGUGAGGAAUAUUGGUCAAUGGGCUUACGCCUGAACCAGCCAAGUCGCGUGAGGGAAGACUGCCCUAUGGGUUUUAACCCUCUUUUGUCAGGGAGCAACGCCGGCUACGUGUAGCCGGACUGAGAGUACCUGAAGAAAAAGCAUCGGCUAACUCCGUGCCAGCAGCCGCGGUAAUACGGAGUAUGCGAGCGUUAUCCGGCUUUAGUGGGUUUAAAGGGUGCGUAGGCGGAAUGCCAAGUCAGCGGGAAAAUCGCGGGACUCAACCUCGCUCCGACGUUGAAACUGGCGUUCUUGAGUGGGCGAGAAGUAUGCGGAAUGCGUGGUGUAGCGGUGAAAUGCAUAGAUAUCACGAAGAACACCGAUUGCGAAGGCAGCAUACCGGCGCCCAACUGACGCUGAAGCACGAAAGCGUGGGUAGCGAACAGGAUUAGAUACCCUUGUAGUC